CCUCUCAUGUUCUUGAGAACAUGAUGAAUCGUGUUUAAAUUCAAAUCAAUAAUUAUAUUUUAGCUUAAAUUCAAGUACCUUGCUAAUUAUAUAUCUGAAAACUAUGUAAAAAAUCAAGUUUAAACAUGAUUCAUCAUGUUCUCAAGAAUUUGAGAGU
rnacentral:pre_miRNA from 1 species